GACGAACCGUGCAAACGUUGUUCGGAAUCACUGGGCUUAAAGGGCGCGCAGGCGGUCGUACAAGUCGCGUGUGAAAGCCCCCGGCUCAACUGGGGAGGGUCACGCGAUACUGUUCGACUCGAAGGCAGGAGAGGGAAGCGGAAUUCCCGGUGUAGUGGUGAAAUGCGUAGAUAUCGGGAGGAACACCAGUGGCGAAGGCGGCUUCCUGGCCUGUUCUUGACGCUGAGGCGCGAAAGCUAGGGUAGCAAACGGG
rnacentral:rRNA from 1 species